rnacentral:rRNA from 1 species
AACCUUCCUACGAGUGGGGAAUAGCCCAGAGAAAUUUGGAUUAAUACCCCGUAACAUAACGAUGUGGCAUCACACUGUUAUUAUAGCUUCGGCGCUUGUUGAUGGGUGUGCGGCUGAUUAGGUAGUUGGCGGGGUAACGGCCCACCAAGCCUUCGAUCAGUAGCUGAUGUGAGAGCAUGAUCAGCCACACGGGCACUGAGACACGGGCCCGACUCCUACGGGAGGCAGCAGUAAGGAAUAUUGGACAAUGGGCGCAAGCCUGAUCCAGCCAUGCCGCGUGAAG